GUGGGGAAUCUUAGACAAUGGGCGCAAGCCUGAUCUAGCCAUGCCGCGUGAGCGAUGAAGGCCUUAGGGUUGUAAAGCUCUUUCGUGGGGGAAGAUAAUGACUGUACCCCAAGAAGAAGCCCCGGCUAACUCCGUGCCAGCAGCCGCGGUAAUACGGAGGGGGAUAGCGUUGUUCGGAAUUACUGGGCGUAAAGCGCACGUAUGCGGACUGGAAAGUCAGGGGUGAAAUCCCUGGGCUCAACCCCGGAACUGCCUUUGAAACUACCAGUCUUGAGUUCGAGAGAGGUAGGUGGAAGUCCGAGUGUAGAGGUGAAAUUCGUAGAUAUUCGGAGGAACACCAGUGGCGAAGGCGGCUCACUGGCUCGAUACUGACGCUGAGGUGCGAAAGCGUGGGGAGCAAACAGGAUUAGAAACCCUGGUAGUCC
rnacentral:rRNA from 1 species